rnacentral:rRNA from 1 species
GGAACUUCUGCGCUCUGCGGCUCACUUUAAACACUAGUCAAAGAAAUAGUAACGAAAUAAUACGAAUAAAAAAAAACUUUACAACAACGGAUCUCUUGGCUCUCGCAUCGAUGAAGAACGCAGCGAAAUGUGAUAAGUAAUGUGAAUUGCAGAAUUCAGUGAAUCAUCGAAUCUUUGAACGCACCUUGCGCUCCCUAGUAUUCUGGGGAGCAUGUCUGUUUGAGUGUCAUGAACUCUUCAACCCACCAGUUUCUUGUAGACUGAAUGGUGUUUGGAUUUUGAGUGUUGCUGGUCUUCGGACGUAGCUCAUUCGUAAUAUAUUAGCAUCUCUAAUUCGAAUUCGGAUUGACUCAGUGUAAUAGACUAUUCGCUGAGGACACUUUUAUUAGUGGCCGAACUAGAUAACUGUAGAAGCUUCUAACCUCUAUAGUCAACUUUAGAUUAGACCUCAGAUCAGGCAGGAUUACCCGCUGAACUUAA